CCGGCGGGCUGCCCAGAGGGGAGCGGAGCGGCUCUUUUCCGUAGGCAGCCAUCUUAACUGCGGGCAAACCGCGCUUUCCCGUGGCGGCCAUCUUAGGGCCGGGCAGUGGCGGGGCCUUCUCGCUUCACGGAGCCGUUUGGGGGCGGCCGGCGGUGUGGCCGAUCUCCUGGGAGAUGUUGGAAAGGAAACCUGAAGAAGAAGCUGAGAUGAAAGCUCCCUGCUUCUGCCCAAGCAGAGGAGAAUGGGGAGCAGUGUGUGUGGCACCAUCUCAGUCCAGCCCCGGGGGCUAGAGCUUUCGGAAAGACUGGGGUAAUGUUUGAGUGCUGCAACGAUCCAGAACAUUGUUACACAGAUAGGAAGAUCCAGGAUGGCUGCUUCACUGCACUUUCACGUCUUCUGAAGGGGCUCUGGCAUGCAGACAUCUGAGAGGAGUCUGGGCUUUCUGGCAGCAGGAGCAAGGUCAAGCCAGUUUGGCCUACAUCAUUUUUAUUUUUUUUUUAAGUUGUAAUGGAAAAAGGAUCCAGUCUGAGCCUUGCUGAAAACAGAAGUUUUUCACUUAGUUACAGCUGAGUACAGCCACACUUCCCGGCUCCCUCCCUCCCCUGGGUCUCGUAGCAUAAUCUAAUUAUUAAAUAAUUGCAAUAAGAGUACAUUUUGCCCUGGCAAAAUAGGUACUGACUAAAGCCUGUUGGUAGGACAGAUAUUUUUAUGCCAUCCUUGCCCCGUUCCUGCCAAAAUAAGAGGUUUUUUUUUUGGAUUCUCUUGUCAGCUUUUGGAUUUGUGAUCUGAUCUUUUGAAACAUUCCUUCCAGUCUAGGCAGUGCUCUCCAACUGCCUGGCACUGCUGUUAAUGCCUUUCUUCCUAAUCAAUCAAGCCCACUGCAUGCUUCCUUAAAGGAAAACUCUGCUCAGGUUGUUCAGUCCAAUGACACAAACUUUCACAAGUGUAAAAAUAAAACCUGUUUGUCACAAAGAAUCCCGCUGGUGUGGGAAGUGAAGGUAAAACUAAUCCCUUUUGGCAUUUCUGGGACUGUCCUGCAGGCAGUUCUUGCCUUAAAACCGACAGUGGUGCCAUGGACAACCAGCUGCAGGCACUUUGUAGCUCAGUUUCUAGCUGACAUAAAUGCCUUGGUUGUAGUAAGGACCUUGAGGAUAUUAACAACAGCUUGUAUAUGUGUAUAGCGGGGGCAGAAUUUGGCUCUACUUGCUCCUCUAAUUAAAAAGUAGUCCCAAAUUGCCAUCUUCUGGGUCUCAGGCAGUUGCUCAGCUUUAUCUUUCCCUUAGUUUGUUAAGGGACUGCCGACCAGCCCAGCUCCAUGCCUUAAAAUUAAAGGAGCUAAAGAAAUGCCACGCUGAAGAUAAACUGCUGGAGGAAGUGUAUCCUGGGCUGGGAUCGGCAGCUUUUAUCGGUUUUUAUUAUUCAUUCCUCUAGCUAGAAAAAAAUACAGGCAAAUAGUAAUGCUUGGGAUGUGCAACGUUGCUGAUUUCAGGGGCUCGUGUCCUGUUUGAGGUGCAGUGCAGCAAAAUGGCUGUUCUUGGGGUAAGGUUUCUGUGCCAGCUGGAACUGGUGACUUCCUUUAAAACUCCUGCUUUUGUAAUUAUUCAUGGCAAAAAGUUGUUUCUUCCCGUAUGAACUUCUGGCGUGCUGCGCCCUGAGGUGAGCCAAGUAGGUUAUUUUCCUCAGCGUCUGAAUUUUUUCCUAAUUACCUGGUGCCAGUUGUUGCCCACGCAGUUUUCUGUACCCGGGCUUCAGAAUUCACCCCUGCCAUGUUCUGGAAAGGUUCAGCAACGCUUCUUAAGGAGCUUGUCUUGGGUCUGCCUGGUAUCUAGGAGAGGAAUGUUCCUGUGCCAAGUGCAGCCCUUUAUGGAAAUGCUUUUUUUUUUUUUUCUGUAUCACAUCUCUAACACUUUCUCAUCAAACUAGGUCUCAGGAAAUAAAGUUAAUGCUGUGUGACUGAGCUGUGCUUUGCUGGACAGUAGCUGAUGGGUGAAGUAGAGCUCUAAUCGCUGACAAUUUGCUGUGCCAGUGAAGGAACCAUGGGCUGGCCUGUCCCGAGAACAUACAGCUUCUGCUGCUGCUCUUUAACACGUCUUUUACACAGGUUCUCCUGAGCAAGCUGUCAGUCCUCCGGGGUAACUUCUUACAUCCAAUGCAGCCCGUGUUAAUCUCGGAGAUGAAAUCUCUGGUGUUGGAUAAUUCCCGAAUCUGGGUGGUUGGGAAUGGGAGGAGAGAAAAGGUCAUCUUAUCUUUUAGGGUGGGAUAAGUGGGAUCUGCCAGCAGAGAUCACGAGUCCUGGUGUUAAUGCCAGCUCCUGCACGGCUUGGCACAAAGCUGGGGUUGCUCUGAGUGCCCUCAACGCUACGGGCAGUGUAGAAGCAAACUGGAAAUCCCGUCCCUUAGCUGCUGCAAGCGUGUGAUAAAAGGAUCCCAACCCAGAUAAUAAAUGUCAUCCCUGCUGUGUCUGUUUUCCAGCAGGACGAGCUUCAGGGUCCUAGCAGCAGGAUGACGAGACGCCUGCUGUAGUGGCUGGAAGGAAUUCGAGCAGCAGCAGAGGAUGCUGAAGGUACGAGACGCUUUGUUACAGCUCUCCCUGCAGGAGACAGCACUGCUGAUGGUGUUUGUUUAAACGAGGGCUGCUCAGGGGUUGUGCUGUUCAGGAGCUGUGUGCGCUUUCCCCCUUCCACAUUGAAUAGUCAGCACUGGCCCAGCUCGCUCCCCUUCGCCGCCUCGCUCUCACUGCCAUGCUCUGUUUGGAUGUUGGCAGCAGCCAAGAUUCCUUUCAAGUGUAUUCUUCCUUCCUGGUUUAUCGAUGAUUCAUGCUUUUAGAGGCUUCCUGCCUUUCCAUGACUUAGUGAAAACGAUCCAUUUCGUAACGUCUCCUUACUCUUAGCAGGGCUUGUGCUACGCUCCCAAAACUCCCACUGGUUUUUCACUGCGAGCAUGACCAGACUGUGAAAUAGCUCGGCUGGUCUGCUGAAUAAUCCGUUGGUCUCUAAAUAAGCGGCAGUUUUAUUUCUCUCACUCCUUAGAGCUGUUUGUCUCCAAACGUUUGAGUGCAGAAACUGUCAGGCAGUGCAGAACAGCCCCCUUUUUUGGGGAGUGGGAGGCAGACAGGCAGGCGUUUUACUGCACAGUUUGGAGUGAGAGGAAUUCUGUUUAAGGACAAUGAGGGAAAGCUGAGCUUGUGGGCUCGAUGACCCUUUGAUCUUCCACGUUCAUGAUCAGGACUUUAAAUCUGAGCUCUGCCUACCUCCUACCCGUAGCAAAGGGGCAGAAAUGUGAUCUCAUUUAGGACUUGAGCGCUGCACCAGAGUGGCAGGGCUGCGGUGACACCUGCUCAGCCUUCCACAUUUCCUCUUUGCCUGUUAUUUCCUCCAGUGACACAGACAGAAGGCUGCUCCAUCACCAGGAGAUAACUGAAGCUUUGUGAUGGUUGCUGAUGGUGGUGAAACAAAUGACUGGCUUUCUGGGCUCCAGAUACUGAGGGUAGUUAAGGCAGGGCAGCUCUCCUGUCAGCUUACAGAAACUGCGGCGGCAGAAGCAACAGGAGCGAGCAGAGACAGGGGUGAUAAGGAGCUGGAGCCUUGCCCUGCAGCCUUGGAGCAGCUGUAAGAGGUUGUGUUGCUUCUAUGCUGCACAUCGUUAAGGAUCCUUAAUUAUGGGGAGAUGGCUGCGCUGCGUAGGCUCGAGAGUAGCCUGCAGGAAGGCAGGAACUUGAAUUUUAUUAACUCCUGUGCUGCGGUGGUUGAGGAUGGAUCCGGAAGGGCUCAGUGCAGCUGGGACAGACUUGGCUGGCUGAUAACAUGCAGCUCAUCUGAGCCAGUGUGGCUGCAGCCCAACUGAUAGGGAACAGCUGGGGAUUUUGUGCCUCUUCCUACACAACAAAGCAAAAUGGGAGAUGUUUAAACCUGGAGGGAAGCAUUUGGGGGAAAGCAAAGCUUGGACUUGAGGCAGAAGCGGUGCUUAGCUCAGCCCUGCUGAGCCACUUGAAUAUUUGUUUUCAGUUUUCCUUGUGGUAUUUAUAGUGUGAGAGAGGCUCAGAGGAACCAGAGGCACAGCUGCGUGACCUCCUGCGUGCUCUAACCGAUGGGCGCAGGGCAGUGAAUGUGCCUGGUUUCUUCCAGCUGUGGGUGUUGGGUUCAAACUGUGGUGCCACAAAAAGGGUUGUAAAGAAACCGAGAGGUGAAUUUGAAUUUCUGGGCUGGAAGGACCCCCUCUGAAGGGAUCUGAGGGGAAAAAAAGCUGAGCUACCUGGCCUGACAGUGAAAAAGGAAUCUAUCUUGGGCAUUUAUCAGACUUUUUCACUGCAUUUUGUGUUCUUUUGAACACCUGUACGUUGGUAGACACCCCUUUGUUUCUCUUCAUGAAUUCUGUCUUUACCUUGGUGAAGAAAUUGCUGGUACACGAGGACCUGAAGCAGCUGAUGACACAAGUUCGAGAAAAUGGACAAAAGACUCUGAUUACUGCCUAUUAUGAUGUCCAAGAAAUACAUUGAGUGAUGGAAAGAGCACAGAGAGAUGAGAGACACCGUUGGUGGGACGCUUUGUUUGGAUGGUUGCCAGCUGCCAUGGGAAUCUUCAACGAGAUGCUUCACCCUGUUACUGUUCUGUUAACACUCACUGUAUUGUGUUUUAUACUGACAAUUAGUUUGUACGUUAAACUCUGAUAAUGAGAUGUUUAUCAUCCAUACACAAAGUACAUACACUCGAAAAACCUCAUUCCAAGAAUGUAUGUGGUAUCCCCAACAUAUUCCAACUCUCGUGAAGCUUGAGUGCCUGUAGUCACAGGCUGGGUUAUGUGGUGUAAUUGCCUGAGGUAACUAGGGAAAUAAAACUAACAGUUGCAUUUUAA